rnacentral:rRNA from 1 species
AUUGAACGCUGGCGGCAGGCCUAGCACAUGCAAGUCGAGCGGAUGAAGGGAACUUGCUCCUGGAUUCAGCGGCGGACGGGUGAGUAAUGCCUAGGAAUCUGCCUGGUAGUGGGGGAUAACGUCCGGAAACGGGCGCUAAUACCGCAUACGUCCUGAGGGAGAAAGUGGGGGAUCUUCGGACCUCACGCUAUCAGAUGAGCCUAGGUCGGAUUAGCUAGUUGGUGGGGUAAAGGCCUACCAAGGCGACGAUCCGUAACUGGUCUGAGAGGAUGAUCAGUCACACUGGAACUGAGACACGGUCCAGACUCCUACGGGAGGCAGCAGUGGGGAAUAUUGGACAAUGGGCGAAAGCCUGAUCCAGCCAUGCCGCGUGUGUGAAGAAGGUCUUCGGAUUGUAAAGCACUUUAAGUUGGGAGGAAGGGCAGUAAGUUAAUACCUUGCUGUUUUGACGUUACCAACAGAAUAAGCACCGGCUAACUUCGUG